UACAGAGGGUGCGAGCGUUGUUCGGAAUUAUUGGGCGUAAAGGGCGCGUAGGCGGUGCGGUAAGUCACCUGUGAAAUCUCCUGGCUCAACUGGGAGCUUGCAGGCGAAACUGCCGUGCUGGAGUGUGGGAGAGGUGCGUGGAAUUCCUGGUGUAGCGGUGAAAUGCGCAGAUAUCAGGAGGAACACCUGUGGCGAAAGCGGCGCACUGGACCACAACUGACGCUGAGGCGCGAAAGCUAGGGGAGCAAACAGG
rnacentral:rRNA from 1 species